rnacentral:rRNA from 1 species
GAUGAACGCUGGCGGCGUGCCUAAUACAUGCAAGUCGAGCGAACAGACGAGGAGCUUGCUCCUCUGACGUUAGCGGCGGACGGGUGAGUAACACGUGGAUAACCUACCUAUAAGACUGGGAUAACUUCGGGAAACCGGAGCUAAUACCGGAUAAUAUAUUGAACCGCAUGGUUCAAUAGUGAAAGACGGUUUUGCUGUCACUUAUAGAUGGAUCCGCGCCGCAUUAGCUAGUUGGUAAGGUAACGGCUUACCAAGGCGACGAUGCGUAGCCGACCUGAGAGGGUGCUCGGCCACACUGGAACUGAGACACGGUCCAGCCUCCUACGGGAGGCAGCAGUAGGGAAUCUUCCGCAAUGGGCGAAAGCCUGACGGAGCAACGCCGCGUGAGUGAUGAAGUUCUUCGGAUCGUAAAACUCUUUUAUGAGGGAAGAACAAAUGUGUAAGUAACUGUGCACGUCUUGACGGUACCUAAUCAGAAAGCCACGGCUAACUACGUG